GACGAACGCUGGCGGCGUGCUUAACACAUGCAAGUCGAACGGAAAGGCCCUGCUUUUGUGGGGUGCUCGAGUGGCGAACGGGUGAGUAACACGUGAGUAACCUGCCCUUGACUUUGGGAUAACUUCAGGAAACUGGGGCUAAUACCGGAUAGGAGCUCCUGCUGCAUGGUGGGGGUUGGAAAGUUUCGGCGGUUGGGGAUGGACUCGCGGCUUAUCAGCUUGUUGGUGGGGUAGUGGCUUACCAAGGCUUUGACGGGUAGCCGGCCUGAGAGGGUGACCAGCCACAUUGGGACUUAGAUACGGCCCAGACUCCUACGGGAGGCAGCAGUGGGGAAUAUUGCACAAUGGGCGGAAGCCUGAUGCAGCAGCGCCGCGUGCGGGAUGACGGCCUUCGGGUUGUAAACCGCUUUCGCCUGUGACGAAGCGUGAGUGACGGUAAUGGGUAAAGAAGCACCGGCUAACUACGUG
rnacentral:rRNA from 1 species